AUGGCCAUCCAAGUAGCAACCUGCCACACCGCCGCCGAGCUCUGGAACACGGUGCAGGGGAUGCUAGCCUCACACACCCGCGCCCGCACCGUCAACGUCAGAAUUGCACUGGCGAAUCUUCAGGAGGGCAACUCCAACAUCACUGAAUAUGUUGGUAAGAUUAGAUUUUUAUGUGAUGAACUUGUUGCUUCAGGAAAGAAAGUAGAUGAGGAGGAUGUUGUGUCUCAUAUCCUUGUUGGACUCGAUGAGGAGUUCGACCCCGUGGUUUCUGCCAUGUGCUCUCGAGUUGAGCCGGUGACCGUCCCCGAGCUGUACUCGCAGCUUUUGAGCUUCGAGACACGUAUGAAUCUGCGCGGCGGGUCCUCCCAGUCCUCUGCAAACGCGGCCUCCCGCGGACGCUCCAACAAGCAGAACAACAGCAACGGCGGCGGCGGUGGUGACCGCAGCCGCAACUUCCCCAGGCAAGGCGGUGGCGGCGGCGGUGGUGACCGCGGCUGCGGCAACUUCAACAAGCAGCCGAACCGCGGCAACAUGGGGGGCAACAACGGUGGUGGCGGCGGGAACUACAACAACAAUCCCGCUGCCAAGGUUGCUUGUCAGAUCUGCGGCAAGCUCUCGGGCAUCCAACAUGGAAGUGCUGGAAGCGCUACGACUCCUCCUAUCAAGGAGGGGAAGAGCGCUCGGUGA
rnacentral:rRNA from 1 species